rnacentral:rRNA from 1 species
GGCUGACGGUACCUGAGGAAUAAGCACCGGCUAACUUCGUGCCAGCAGCCGCGGUAAUACGAAGGGUGCAAGCGUUAAUCGGAAUUACUGGGCGUAAAGCGUGCGUAGGCGGUUUUUUAAGUCUGCUGUGAAAUCCCCGGGCUCAACCUGGGAAUGGCAGUGGAUACUGGAAAGCUAGAGUGUGAUAGAGGAUGGUGGAAUUCCCGGUGUAGCGGUGAAAUGCGUAGAGAUCGGGAGGAACAUCAGUGGCGAAGGCGGCCAUCUGGAUCAACACUGACGCUGAGGCACGAAAGCGUGGGGAGCAAACAGGAUUAGAUACCCUGGUAGUCCACGCCCUAAACGAUGCGAACUGGAUGUUGGUCUCAACUCGGAGAUCAGUGUCGAAGCUAACGCGUUAAGUUCGCCGCCUGGGGAGUACGGUCGCAAGACUGAAACUCAAAGGAAUUGACGGG